CUUUUUGACGAGUGCAAACAAACUACGCUCCAUUGAAAAACCUAUGAAUCACCUGAAGCAUACGAUGUCAAUUGGAAUGAGAAAUAGAAAUAUGAACUAUGCAAACUAUGCCAGAUUGUCAAACGAAGUUGUGAAGUUACCAUCUCACAUAGAAAACACUCAGAGGGAAUACGGGGAACAGAAGAAAAAAUAUCGUAAGUAUACGUAGCUCGAGAUACGGCCCCACUUUGCCAUUUGGGAAAGC
rnacentral:lncRNA from 11 species